CAGUCGCCACGGUAAUACGUAGGUGGCAAGCGUUGUCCGGAAUUACUGGGCGUAAAGCGUGCGCAGGCGGUUGUGUAAGACAGGUGUGAAAUCCCCGGGCUUAACCUGGGAACUGCGCUUGUGACUGCACAGCUAGAGUAUGGCAGAGGGGGGUGGAAUUCCACGUGUAGCAGUGAAAUGCGUAGAGAUGUGGAGGAACACCGAUGGCGAAGGCAGCCCCCUGGGCCAAUACUGACGCUCAUGCACGAAAGCGUGGGGAGCAAACAGGAUUAGAUACCCCAGUAGUCCCUGUCUCUUAUAC
rnacentral:rRNA from 1 species